UAGCACCAUUUGAAAUCG
rnacentral:miRNA from 1 species